GAGUUCGGUCUCGGAUCUUCAAACGGUGGAGAAAUUUUGACCGGAGUGUCUAAGUUCAAUUUUAGUUCUAGGUUGUCUCUUGAUUCUGAGGAAAGCCCAACGGGUUUACAGAGUUUGGGGAGUACCUCAUGACUAAGGAAAUAUGAGCAUUCGGCCUUGCUGGAGUUUGAACCCAUGUUUUUUAUAUGGCAUUAGUGGGUAAGAACUCCACUAAAGGCAUGGGUUGGAAUCUUAUCAAGGCCAAAAUUUUUAACAUUUCUCCCCAAACUUUGUGAAUCUGUUAGGCUUGAGAGACAAAACUUGAGGCUAAAAUCAAAUAUAGAUGCCUCGAGCACAAUACUUCCACUGUUUGAGGGUCCAAGACUGACCUCC
rnacentral:pre_miRNA from 1 species